UACGAGUGCCCCAAGCGUUAUCCGGAAUCAUUGGGCGUAAAGGGUGUGUAGGUGGCUCUAUAAGUCCGUUGUGAAAGUCAAAGGCUCAACCUUUGAAAGCCGAUGGAUACUGUAGAGCUAGAGUCCGGAAGAGGCGAGUGGAAUUCCUGGUGUAGCGGUGGAAUGCGUAGAUAUCAGGAGGAACACCGGUGGCGAAGGCGGCUAUCUGGACAGAAACUGACGCUGAGGCGCGAAAGCUAGGGGAGCAAACAGG
rnacentral:rRNA from 1 species